rnacentral:rRNA from 1 species
CAGUCGCCACGGUAAUACGAAGGGUGCAAGCGUUAAUCGGAAUUACUGGGCGUAAAGGGUGCGUAGGCGGUUGUUUAAGUCUGUUGUGAAAUCCCCGGGCUCAACCUGUGAAUGGCAAUGGAAACUGGACGGCUAGAGUGUGUCAGAGGAUGGUGGAAUUCCCGGUGUAGCGGUGAAAUGCGUAGAGAUCGGGAGGAACAUCAGUGGCGAAGGCGGCCAUCUGGGACAACACUGACGCUGAAGCACGAAAGCGUGUGGAGCAAACAGGAUUAGAUACCCCGGUAGUCCCUGUCUCUUAACA